UACGUAGGGUGCGAGCGUUGUCCGGAAUUAUUGGGCGUAAAGGGCUCGUAGGCGGUUUGUCGCGUCGGGAGUGAAAUCCACUGGCUUAACUGGUGGCUUGCUUUCGAUACGGGCAGACUGGAGGUAUGCAGGGGAGAACGGAAUUCCUGGUGUAGCGGUGAAAUGCGCAGAUAUCAGGAGGAACACCGGUGGCGAAGGCGGGUCUCUGGGCCGAUACUGACGCUGAGGAGCGAAAGCGUGGGGAGCGAACAGGA
rnacentral:rRNA from 1 species